rnacentral:rRNA from 1 species
AGCGAUAUGCUUAACACAUGCAAGUCGAACGUUGUUUUCGUCUAUAGAACAGUUGAAGACAAAGUGGCGAACGGGUGCGUAACGCGUGGGAAUCUGCCAAACAGUUUGGGCCGAAUCCCAAAGAAACGAAAGCAGCUUUGCUGCUUGCUUGCUUGCUUGCUUGCUUGCUUGCUGCUUUUCGAUAAAGCUAAAAAGCGCUGUUUGAUGAGCCUGCGUAGUAUUAGGUAGUUGGUUGGGUAAAGGCUGACCAAGCCGCAGAUGCUUAGCUGAUCUUUUCGGACGAUCAGCCACACUGGGACUGAGACACGGCCCAGACUCCGUAGGGAGGCAGCAGUGGGGAAUAUCGGACAAUGGGCGAAAGCCCGAUCCAGCAAUAUCGCGUGAGUGAGUGAAAAACGUCGCGUUAGCGAGGAAGGGCAAUGCCGCUUGUAAAGCUCUUUCGUCGAGUACGCGAUUAUGACAAGACUCGAAGAAGAAGCCCCGGCUAACUCCGUGCCAGCAGCCGCGGUAAGACGGGGGGGGCAAGUGUUAUUCGGAAUGACUGGGCGUAAAGGGCACGUAGGCAGUGAAUCAGGUUGAAAGUCAAAGGCGCCAGCUCAACUGGCGGAAUGCUUUCAAAACCAAUUUACUCGAGUGGGACAGAGGGGAGUGGAAUUUCGUGUGUAGGGAUAAAAUCCGGAGAUAUACGAAGGAACGCCGAAGUAGCGAAGGCAGCUUUCUGGGUCUCUACUGACGCUGAGGUGCGAAAGCUUGGGGAGCAAACAGGAUUAGAUACCCUGGUAGUCCAUGCCGUAAACGAUGAGUGUUCGUCCUUGGUCCGCGGAUCGGGGGCCCAGCUAACGCGUUAAACACUCCGCCUGGGGAGUACGGUCGCAAGACUGAAACUCAAAGGAAUUGACGGGGGCCUGCACAAGCGGUGGAGCAUGUGGUUUAAUUCGAUACAACGCGCAAAACCUUACCAGCCCUUGACAUAUGAACACUUGACGUAUGAACACUUGACAUAUGAACCGGUGUGCUUGUCCUUAACGGGAUGAAACGAAAAUUCAUACAGGUGCUGCAUGGCUGUCGUCAGCUCGUGUCGUGAGACGUUUUUGGUUAACUCCUAUAACGAGCGAAACCCUCGUUUUGUGUUGCUAAGAUAUGCUGCUCCCAGAGGAUCAAUGUCAUCAUUCACCCUCGGCAAGCAGGAACAUAGAACAUGGGCUGGCUUCCGACGAACUUGAGGUUCCGACGAGCGAGCCGGUGGUAAGUGAGCCGCUUCAUCGGUACCUGCCCAUGAAUCUGUGUUCAGUCAGCGGUUAGCCAGGAUUGAUGACACUCCCUCUGUGCCGAUGUUGCACUCACAAGAGACUGCCCGUAGUUCUACUAUGGAGGAAGGUGAGGAUGACGUCAAGUCCGCAUGGCCCUUAUGGGCUGGGCUACACACGUGCUACAAUGGCAAUUACAAUAGGAAGCAGGGCCGUAAGGCGGAGCGAAUCCAGAAAGAUUGCCUCAGUUCGGAUUGUUCUCUGCAACUCGAGAACAUGAAGUUGGAAUCGCUAGUAAUCGCGGAUCAGCAUGCCGCGGUGAAUAUGUACUCGGGCCCCGUACACACCGCCCGUCACACCCUGGGAAUUGGUUUCGCCCGAAGCAUCGACCAGAGA